rnacentral:rRNA from 1 species
AUUGAACGCUGGCGGCAUGCCUAACACAUGCAAGUCGAGCGGAGCGGCGGACGGGUGAUUAAUGCCUAGUAAUCUGCCUGUUCGUGGGGGAUACCGUCCGGAAACGGGCCCUAAUACCGCAUACUAUCAGAUUGGCCUCGGUCGGAUUAGCUAGGUGGUGGGGUAAAGGCCUACCAAGGCGACGAGCCGUAACCGGUCUGAGAGGAUGAUCAGUCACACUGGAACUGAGACACGGUCCAGACUCCUACGGGAGGCAGCAGUGGGGAAUAUUGGACAAUGGGCGAAAGCCUGAUCCAGACAUGCCGCGUGUGUGAAGAAGGUCUUCGGAUUGUAAAGCACUUUAAGUUGGGAGGCGUUACCAACAGAAUAAGCACCGGCUAACUUCGUGCCAGCAGCCGCGGUAAUUC